UUUAAUGUUUAUGUAAACGGGCCAAUUUGCCCAGGCCCACUUCAAAACCAAAAUCCAAAAUAAAAAUAAUAAAUAAACAAAACAUCAAAUAUUAAAGGUCCAUUAAAUGUCCCAACUACAUAACCCAAGACCCAAACAAGCCCAAUAACUAAUCCUAACCCAAAUUUAAAACCUAGACCCAAAUUACAAGCCCGAUAGGCCCAAUAUUUUGAGAACAGAAACCCUAGGGUUUCUUCCCCACUUUUGUGCCACAACUAGACAACGCCUCAUGUACGGCCUCCGUGCACCCAAAGCCUGGCUCCGUACGCUCCAGCGCUCCAGCAGUCACGCCCCACAUCAAGCGCCACGUACCACCGCGCCAACGGGCCUCCGUACCUGCGAAGAAAUAGACAAACAACAGCAGCAACAAGCCAAUACGAAAGCAAAAAAGAAAAAUUAUAUUUUUUAUUUUAUUUUGAACAUUCGGCUAUAUAGCCUAUUAUUUUCGAUUGUAAAGAGGCUCUUUUUUUUACGGAUACUACAAAAACUCAAUACAAAAGAAUCAGCAAAAAUCAAAAUGUGAUUGAAAUUUUUCGUCUUCAAUAUAUUUCCUUUUGUAUGUAUUCUGUUUUCUUUUAGAAAUAUUUUUUUUCAAAUAAAAAAAGAGAAAGAAAUGAGAAGUUUACCUUCGCGGAUGCAUCGAUGAGAUUCUCGUCUUCUCCGUCGAAGUCGGGGUUAGAGAUGAGAGUGAAAAUGGUUUUUAAGUGUCGAUUUUGAUGGAAAUAAAGAAGGCUUCUACAUCAUUUACCCACUUUAAUGGUGAACCGACGAUUAAAUGGCCUUAGGAGAUGAAGGUUGCUGCGCCGAAACCCUAACAAUUGGGUAUUCGGUCUGCAACUUGGAAGAAUGGCAAAAUGUCAUUCAUUUUCUUUAAAUUUUGAGUAAACAACGAAACGGCACCGUUGCAAGGGGGAGGGUCCAUGCGUCAACCUGUUCCAGGACCCGAACCCGCGCUUUUGUGCUUCAAAUGGGUUAUUUGCAAGAUUGGUCCUCCCCUUUCGCGUGCGCAUUCAAUCGCACCUUAUCUGUUUUGCUUCUUUUUUUAAAUUAGCUCGUUAAUUUGUGUGCAUUUGCACUUUAGUCCUCGGUACAGCG
rnacentral:lncRNA from 1 species